rnacentral:lncRNA from 1 species
GUUUUGAGGUGCGACAGCUUUUGAAUAAGAAUUGCAUUACACUUGAACCGGACAUAGAACAGGGCCAUAACGCCGUAGUCCAGUCCUUGAUCAUGUUCGAUGCUCCACCUCCGCAUCAUUUUUCCCAAGUGAUCCUACAGAUCCCAUUGUUGUGGAAUAAGCAUUUCAUGAUUGAAUAAAGCAAUUCACCAUUGUUGUGGAAUACAUAAAAAUUAUGGACCGAGAACACUGCCUUCGCAUCCACCAUCUCCACACAGGCAAAGGCUGCUGCAACACAUUGAUAUAUCAUUUAAAAGAUGAAGCAAAAGAAAGCAAAUGCAUCCUGUUAUUGGUUCUGAUUCAAGAGACGUCGAAGCAUGGGCUUCGAAUCAUAGAACAAUAUUUAAAAAUUUUAUAUGAA